rnacentral:rRNA from 1 species
GACGAACGCUGGCGGCAGGCCUAACACAUGCAAGUCGAGCGGUCCUUCCCGGGCGGGCGUACAACGGGUGCGUAACGCGUGGGAAUAUGCCCUUCUCUACGGAAUAGCCCUGGGAAACUGGGAGUAAUACCGUAUACGCACUUUGGGGGAGAGACUGAUGGGGGGAGGAUGAGGCAGAGUUGGUUUGGGUAGUGGGGGGGGUAAUGGCCUACCAAGCCGAGGAUCCAUAGCUGGAUGGUGAGGAGGAACAGGCACACUGGGACUGAGACACGGCCCAUACUCCUACGGGAGGCGGCAGUUGGGAAUCUUAGAGAAUGGGGGCAAUGCUGAUAUAGCCAGGGCGCGUGGGUGAUGAAGGCCUUGGGGUCGUAAAGCUCUUGCAGCUGGGAAGAUAAUGACGGUACCAGCAGAAGAAGCCCCGGCUAACUCCGUG